rnacentral:rRNA from 1 species
AGAGUUUGAUCCUGGCUCAGGAUGAACGCUGGCGGCGUGCUUAACACAUGCAAGUCGAACGAAGCACUCUAUUUGAUUUCUUCGGAAUGAAGAUUUUGUGACUGAGUGGCGGACGGGUGAGUAACGCGUGGGUAACCUGCCUCAUACAGGGGGAUAACAGUUGGAAACGACUGCUAAUACCGCAUAAGCGCACAGGGUCGCAUGACCUGGUGUGAAAAACUCCGGUGGUAUGAGAUGGACCCGCGUCUGAUUAGCCAGUUGGUGGGGUAACGGCCUACCAAAGCAACGAUCAGUAGCCGACCUGAGAGGGUGACCGGCCACAUUGGGACUGAGACACGGCCCAGACUCCUACGGGAGGCAGCAGUGGGGAAUAUUGCACAAUGGAGGAAACUCUGAUGCAGCGAUGCCGCGUGAGGGAAGAAGGUUUUAGGAUUGUAAACCUCUGUCUUUGGGGACGAAAAAUGACGGUACCCAAGGAGGAAGCUCCGGCUAACUACGUGCCAGCAGCCGCGGUAAUACGUAGGGGGCAAGCGUUAUCCGGAUUUACUGGGUGUAAAGGGAGCGUAGACGGCACGGCAAGCCAGAUGUGAAAGCCCGGGGCUUCACCCCGGGACUGCAUUUGGAACUGCUGACCUAGAGUGUCGGAAAGGCAAGUGGAAUUCCUAGUGUAGCGGUGAAAUGGCGUAGAUAUUAGGAGGAAACCCAUUGGCGAAAGCGGCCUGGUGGAACGAUGACUGACGUAGAAGCUCGAAAGCGGGGGGAGCAAAACAGGGAUUAGUUCCCCUGGUAGUCCACGCCGUAAACGAUGACUGCUAGGUGUGGGGUGGCAAAGCCUUACGGUGCCGCAGCUAACGCAAUAAGCAGUCCACCUGGGGAGUACGUUCGCAAGAAAUGAAACUCAAAGGAAUUGACGGGGACCCGCACAAGCGGUGGAGCAUGUGGUUUAAUUCGAAGCAACGCGAAGAACCUUACCUUGAUCUUGACAUCCCGAUGACCGCUUCGUAAUGGAAGCUUUUCUUCGGAACAUCGGUGACAGGUGGUGCAUGGUUGUCGUCAGCUCGUGUCGUGAGAUGUUGGGUUAAGUCCCGCAACGAGCGCAACCCCUAUCUUCAGUAGCCAGCAGGUUAAGCUGGGCACUCUGGAGAGACUGCCAGGGAUAACCUGGAGGAAGGUGGGGAUGACGUCAAAUCAUCAUGCCCCUUAUGACCAGGGCUACACACGUGCUACAAUGGCGUAAACAAAGAGAAGCGAACUCGCGAGGGUAAGCAAAUCUCAAAAAUAACGUCUCAGUUCGGAUUGUAGUCUGCAACUCGACUACAUGAAGCUGGAAUCGCUAGUAAUCGCAGAUCAGAAUGCUGCGGUGAAUACGAAACCGGGUCUUGCACACGCCGCCCGUCA